rnacentral:tRNA from 1 species
GCGGGAAUAGCUCAGUUGGUAGAGCACGACCUUGCCAAGGUCGGGGUCGCUCGCGAGUUCGAGUCUCGUUUCCCGCUCCA